rnacentral:rRNA from 1 species
ACCUACGGGGCGCAGCAGUGGGGAAUAUUGCACAAUGGGGGAAACCCUGAUGCAGCGACGCCGCGUGAGUGAAGAAGUAUUUCGGUAUGUAAAGCUCUAUCAGCAGGGAAGAAAAUGACGGUACCUGACUAAGAAGCCCCGGCUAACUACGUGCCAGCAGCCGCGGUAAUACGUGGGUGGCAAGCGUUGUCCGGAAUUACUGGGUGUAAAGGGAGCGUAGGCGGGAAGCCAAGUCAGCUGUGAAAACUACGGGCUUAACCUGUAGACUGCAGUUGAAACUGGCUUUCUUGAGUGAAGUAGAGGUU